rnacentral:rRNA from 1 species
UACGUAGGGUGCGAGCGUUGUCCGGAAUUAUUGGGCGUAAAGGGCUCGUAGGCGGUUUGUCGCGUCGGGAGUGAAAACCUCGGGCUUAACUCGGGGCUUGCUUUCGAUACGGGCAGACUAGAGGUAUGCAGGGGAGAACGGAAUUCCUGGUGUAGCGGUGAAAUGCGCAGAUAUCAGGAGGAACACCGGUGGCGAAGGCGGUUCUCUGGGCAUGAUCUGACGCUGAGGAGCGAAAGUGUGGGGAGCGAACGGG